AGUGAACGCUGGCGGUAGGCCUAACACAUGCAAGUCGAACGGCAGCACAGUAAGAGCUUGCUCUUACGGGUGGCGAGUGGCGGACGGGUGAGGAAUACAUCGGAAUCUACUUUUUCGUGGGGGAUAACGUAGGGAAACUUACGCUAAUACCGCAUUCGACCUACGGGUGAAAGCAGGGGAUCUUCGGACCUUGCGCGAUUGAAUGAGCCGAUGUCGGAUUAGCUAGUUGGCGGGGUAAAGGCCCACCAAGGCGACGAUCCGUAGCUGGUCUGAGAGGAUGAUCAGCCACACUGGAACUGGGACACGGUCCAGACUCCUACGGGAGGCAGCAGUGGGGAAUAUUGGACAAUGGGCGCAAGCCUGAUCCAGCCAUACCGCGUGGGUGAAGAAGGCCUUCGGGUUGUAAAGCCCUUUUGUUGGGAAAGAAAAGCAGCAGGUUAAUACCCCGCUGUUCUGACGGUACCCAAAGAAUAAGCACCGGCUAACUUCGUG
rnacentral:rRNA from 1 species